rnacentral:rRNA from 1 species
GGGUUGUGAGGUUAAGCGACUAAGCGUACACGGUGGAUGCCCUGGCAGUCAGAGGCGAUGAAGGACGUGCUAAUCUGCGAAAAGCGUCGGUAAGGUGAUAUGAACCGUUAUAACCGGCGAUGUCCGAAUGGGGAAACCCAGUGCAAUUCGUUGCACUAUCGUUAACUGAAUACAUAGGUUAACGAGGCGAACCGGGGGAACUGAAACAUCUAAGUACCCCGAGGAAAAGAAAUCAACCGAGAUUCCCCCAGUAGCGGCGAGCGAACGGGGAGCAGCCCAGAGUCUGAAUCAGCUUGUGUGUUAGUGGAACGGUCUGGAAAGUCCGACGGUACAGGGUGAUAGUCCCGUACACCAAAAUGCACAGGUUGUGAACUCGAAGAGUAGGGCGGGACACGUGGUAUCCUGUCUGAAUAUGGGGGGACCAUCCUCCAAGGCUAAAUACUCCUGACUGACCGAUAGUGAACCAGUACCGUGAGGGAAAGGCGAAAAGAACCCCGGCGAGGGGAGUGAAAAAGAACCUGAAACCGUGUACGUACAAGCAGUGGGAGCACCUUCGGGUGUGACUGCGUACCUUUUGUAUAAUGGGUCAGCGACUUAUAUUCUGUAGCAAGGUUAACCGUAUAGGGGAGCCGCAGGGAAACCGAGUCUUAACUGGGCGUUAAGUUGCAGGGUAUAGACCCGAAACCCGGUGAUCUAGCCAUGGGCAGGUUGAAGGUUGGGUAACACUAACUGGAGGACCGAACCGACUAAUGUUGAAAAAUUAGCGGAUGACUUGUGGCUGGGGGUGAAAGGCCAAUCAAACCGGGAGAUAGCUGGUUCUCCCCGAAAGCUAUUUAGGUAGCGCCUCGUGAAUUCAUCUUCGGGGGUAGAGCACUGUUUCGGCUAGGGGGUCAUCCCGACUUACCAACCCGAUGCAAACUACGAAUACCGAAGAAUGUUAUCACGGGAGACACACGGCGGGUGCUAACGUCCGUCGUGAAGAGGGAAACAACCCAGACCGCCAGCUAAGGUCCCAAAGUCAUGGUUAAGUGGGAAACGAUGUGGGAAGGCACAGACAGCCAGGAUGUUGGCUUAGAAGCAGCCAUCAUUUAAAGAAAGCGUAAUAGCUCACUGGUCGAGUCGGCCUGCGCGGAAGAUGUAACGGGGCUAAACCAUGCACCGAAGCUGCGGCAGCGACACUAUGUGUUGUUGGGUAGGGGAGCGUUCUGUAAGCCUGCGAAGGUGACCUGUGAGGGUUGCUGGAGGUAUCAGAAGUGCGAAUGCUGACAUAAGUAACGAUAAAGCGGGUGAAAAGCCCGCUCGCCGGAAGACCAAGGGUUCCUGUCCAACGUUAAUCGGGGCAGGGUGAGUCGACCCCUAAGGCGAGGCCGAAAGGCGUAGUCGAUGGGAAACAGGUUAAUAUUCCUGUACUUGGUGUUACUGCGAAGGGGGGACGGAGAAGGCUAUGUUAGCCGGGCGACGGUUGUCCCGGUUUAAGCAUGUAGGCUGGUUGUCCAGGCAAAUCCGGAUAAUCAAGGCUGAGGUGUGAUGACGAGGCACUACGGUGCUGAAGUAACAAAUGCCCUGCUUCCAGGAAAAGCCUCUAAGCAUCAGGUAACAUCAAAUCGUACCCCAAACCGACACAGGUGGUCAGGUAGAGAAUACCAAGGCGCUUGAGAGAACUCGGGUGAAGGAACUAGGCAAAAUGGUGCCGUAACUUCGGGAGAAGGCACGCUGGUGUGUAGGUGAAGUCCCUGCGGAUGGAGCUGAGACCAGUCGAAGAUACCAGCUGGCUGCAACUGUUUAUUAAAAACACAGCACUGUGCAAACACGAAAGUGGACGUAUACGGUGUGACGCCUGCCCGGUGCCGGAAGGUUAAUUGAUGGGGUUAUCCGUAAGGAGAAGCUCUUGAUCGAAGCCCCGGUAAACGGCGGCCGUAACUAUAACGGUCCUAAGGUAGCGAAAUUCCUUGUCGGGUAAGUUCCGACCUGCACGAAUGGCGUAAUGAUGGCCAGGCUGUCUCCACCCGAGACUCAGUGAAAUUGAACUCGCUGUGAAGAUGCAGUGUACCCGCGGCAAGACGGAAAGACCCCGUGAACCUUUACUAUAGCUUGACACUGAACAUUGAGCCUUGAUGUGUAGGAUAGGUGGGAGGCUUUGAAGCGUGGACGCCAGUCUGCGUGGAGCCAACCUUGAAAUACCACCCUUUAAUGUUUGAUGUUCUAACGUUGGCCCCUUACCGGGGUUGCGGACAGUGUCUGGUGGGUAGUUUGACUGGGGCGGUCUCCUCCCAAAGCGUAACGGAGGAGCACGAAGGUUAGCUAAUCCUGGUCGGACAUCAGGAGGUUAGUGCAAUGGCAUAAGCUAGCUUGACUGCGAGCGUGACGGCGCGAGCAGGUGCGAAAGCAGGUCAUAGUGAUCCGGUGGUUCUGAAUGGAAGGGCCAUCGCUCAACGGAUAAAAGGUACUCCGGGGAUAACAGGCUGAUACCGCCCAAGAGUUCAUAUCGACGGCGGUGUUUGGCACCUCGAUGUCGGCUCAUCACAUCCUGGGGCUGAAGUAGGUCCCAAGGGUAUGGCUGUUCGCCAUUUAAAGUGGUACGCGAGCUGGGUUUAGAACGUCGUGAGACAGUUCGGUCCCUAUCUGCCGUGGGCGCUGGAGAAUUGAGGGGGGCUGCUCCUAGUACGAGAGGACCGGAGUGGACGCAUCACUGGUGUUCGGGUUGUCAUGCCAAUGGCACUGCCCGGUAGCUAAAUGCGGAAGAGAUAAGUGCUGAAAGCAUCUAAGCACGAAACUUGCCCCGAGAUGAGUUCUCCCUGAGACUUUAAGUCUCCUGAAGGAACGUU